GAUGAACGCUGGCGGCGUGCCUAAUACAUGCAAGUCGAACGCAUUGUGGUUGAAAUGAUAUGAAGAACUUGUUCAGAUUUGAUUUUCAACAUUGCAAUGAGUGGCGAACGGGUGAGUAACACGUGGGAAACCUACCUCUUAGCAGGGGAUAACAUUUGGAAACAAAUGCUAAUACCGUAUAAUAAUUAAAACCGCAUGGUUUUAGUUUAAAAGAUGGUCUUGCUAUCACUAAGAGAUGGUCCCGCGGUGUAUUAGUUAGUUGGUGAGGUAAUGGCUCACCAAGACAAUGAUACAUAGCCGAGUUGAGAGACUGACCGGCCACAAUGGGACUGAGACACGGCCCAUACUCCUACGGGAGGCAGCAGUAAGGAAUCUUCCACAAUGGACGAAAGUCUGAUGGAGCAACGCCGCGUGUGUGAUGAAGGGUUUCGGCUCGUAAAACACUGUUGUAAGAGAAGAAUGACAUUGAGAGUAACUGUUCAAUGUGUGACGGUAUCUUACC
rnacentral:rRNA from 1 species